GCAUGCCUGUAAUCCCAGCUACUCGGGAGGCUGAGGCAGGAUAAUUGCUUGAACCCAGGAGGUGGAGGUUGCGAUGAGCAGAGGCUGUGCCAUUGCACUCCAGCCUGGGCAACAAGAGCGAAACUCCAUCUCAAAAAAAUAUAUAUAUAUGUAUAUAAUAUACAUAUACAAUGGAGUAUUACACAGCUGUGAAAAAGAACAAGGAAGCUAUUUAUGUACUGAUGUAUAAAGCUCUCUAAGUGUGUUGUUAAAUGAAAAAGGUAAAGAAGAGAGCAUGUUACCAUGUAUGAAAAAAUUGAGACAAAGCAUAUAUAUAUCUGAUUUUGCCACUGUAAGCAUUUAAAACACCAGUGGAAUGUCCAAGAAAUUAAGAAGAGGAGUUACCUAUUGGAGGAGAGAACCAGGUAGAUAUAUGGAAGGUGUGGGAGGGAGAGCUCUCACUAAAUAUUUUUAUGCUUUAAAUAUUUUUAACCAUAUAUGUAUUACCUAUUCAAUAAUAAAUGCACCAAUUUGUUAG
rnacentral:lncRNA from 1 species